AUUGAACGCUGGCGGCAUGCUUUACACAUGCAAGUCGAACGGCAGCACGGGGGCAACCCUGGUGGCGAGUGGCGAACGGGUGAGUAAUAUAUCGGAACGUACCCGGAAAUGGGGGAUAACGUAGCGAAAGUUACGCUAAUACCGCAUAUGCCCUAAGGGGGAAAGCGGGGGACUCGCAAGAACCUCGCGUUUUCGGAGCGGCCGAUAUCGGAUUAGCUAGUAGGUGAGGUAAAGGCUCACCUAGGCGACGAUCCGUAGCUGGUCUGAGAGGACGACCAGCCACACUGGAACUGAGACACGGUCCAGACUCCUACGGGAGGCAGCAGUGGGGAAUUUUGGACAAUGGGCGCAAGCCUGAUCCAGCCAUGCCGCGUGAGUGAAGAAGGCCUCGGUUGUAAGA
rnacentral:rRNA from 1 species